rnacentral:rRNA from 1 species
UAACCGCAAGGAGGACGCCGCCGAAGGUAAAACUGGUGAUUGGGGUGAAGUCGUAACAAGGUAGCCGUAUCGGAAGGUGCGGCUGGAUCACCUCCUUUCUAGGGAG